UUGUGUCACUGACUUGUGUGUGUGUGAAAGAAGACAAUGGCAGAUAUUCAGACAACGGGGAUAUUUGCAGUGCAUUUUUGUGACAGCGGACAGGAGACAGUUUUAGGAUCUGUCUGACUGCCGAUUCUCAGUCAUGCGGUUUCCCGUCAUCCGCUUUCGUAAGACUGCUGAUGGUCACUCAGUCAUCAUGAUCACUUCAGCGGCUCCACCUGCUUCUAUGAAGAGCAGGGCGACGUCGCUGAACACGCAUGUACACGGGCGCACGCACGCCUCGAGAUAAUAAAGCUGAAUUGGUCUCUUGAACUUUUUCCUCUUUCCAGUGACAGUAGACGGCUUAAAAAGCAUUAGUUUUUUUGGCUCUUGCCCAGUGAUGAAGUGGAACAUUCCCUUUUGGAGAUCUUCCUCCGUCUGGUUUCAGUGCGCCAGUCAAUAGGGUUCUGAAUUGGUUUCAGUACAUCAGUCAAUAGGAUUCUGAACUGCGAUGCAAACCAAUUCAGCACCACCAAAGUUGUCUUUUUGAAAUAACCAGUACUUGCUUUAUUGUGAUUGUGUGACACUUAGAGAUUCUUUCAAGGGGAGGAAUUGAAAUAUAGUCAGUAUUUUAGGAGUGUAAGUAGGGACUGCAUCCUGACCAAUAAAGGAAAAUUUAUCUUAUCUAAUCUUCCAAUUCAGGCAUUGUGCCCAGUGUAUAAACACAUUACACAUAAUCCAGCAUUCAGAAAAAAGCCGGUCUCUUGGCUCUUUUAACUUAAAUCGCAGUUAUAUUUGUUUCCAGUGCUUUUAGAAGCCUAAAGCGGAGUUUGGGGGAGUUCAUUGUUGCCUUGUUGGCUUAUCAAGGCCAGGCAAUGAUUUCUGUGUUACUUCCCAGGCGAGAAAGGGGACCAUUUGGGGAAGACUUCAAAAUGAACUUGUACAUGGUAAAACGCUUUCGCCGGAUGGCCAUAGCGCCUGUGGGGUAUCUAGAUGUGACUGUUUGAUCUACUGCAGGACUGAGUUGUGGGAUCAAGUUUAUGACGUGAAAAAGGAAUGUGACAAACUGACUUUUUGACAAAGAUUAAUGUCAUAUUUUCCCAUUGUAAGGAGCUGUGAACUAAA